AGUGAACGCUGGCGGUAGGCCUAACACAUGCAAGUCGAACGGCAGCACAGUAAGAGCUUGCUCUUACGGGUGGCGAGUGGCGGACGGGUGAGGAAUACAUCGGAAUCUACUUUUUCGUGGGGGAUAACGUAGGGAAACUUACGCUAAUACCGCAUACGACCUACGGGUGAAAGCAGGGGAUCUUCGGACCUUGCGCGAUUGAAUGAGCCGAUGUCGGAUUAGCUAGUUGGCGGGGUAAAGGCUCACCAAGGCGACGAUCCGUAGCUGGUCUGAGAGGAUGGUCAGCCACACUGGAACUGGGACACGGUCCAGACUCCUACGGGAGGCAGCAGUGGGGAAUAUUGGACAAUGGGCGCAAGCCUGAUCCAGCCAUACCGCGUGGGUGAAGAAGGCCUUCGGGUUGUAAAGCCCUUUUGUUGGGAAAGAAAAGCAGCAGGUUAAUACCCCGCUGUUCUGACGGUACCCAAAGAAUAAGCACCGGCUAACUUCGUG
rnacentral:rRNA from 1 species